UAUGUCCUACGGGACGCAGCAGGGAAUAUUGCACAAUGGGGGAAACCCUGAUGCAGCGACGCCGCGUGAGCGAUGAAGUAUUUCGGUAUGUAAAGCUCUAUCAGCAGGGAAGAAAAUGACGGUACCUGACUAAGAAGCCCCGGCUAACUACGUGCCAGCAGCCGCGGUAAUACGUAGGGGGCAAGCGUUAUCCGGAUUUACUGGGUGUAAAGGGAGCGUAGACGGUCCUGCAAGCCAGAUGUG
rnacentral:rRNA from 1 species